GUGGUUCUGCCGUGGGUUCGGAUCGGAGGCGUCUCUUGCGGGGAAGGACCGAAGUCUCUAAGCACAGAAAGCCCAGAAGCAUUUUGGUGACUCCUCCCACCCCACCAUUGUCGUCUGCCUCAGCUCCGAAUGGAAUCGUGGAAAAUCAAGGUCGGAAGCUGAAUCUUCUAGGAGCUUCCCCGGAUUUAGGUCCCGGCGUGAAUGCGGUGUUGCACAGAGACAAACCAAAUGCCUCGGGAAGCAUGCACCUGCCUGCCACACAUGGGACACUGGCACGGCUGGUGGCCCUCCGGGAGGGGAGGCUGGUGCCGAAGCGCCCUUGUUUCCAGAACCUGUCUCACCGUUCAGGCCUCCAGCCUGACCCGGCGUGGGGUGAACGGUGUGCUCCCAGAGCAGCGCCAUGUGGUGCAGAUGGCACAUUCCGUGGAGAUGCGCAGGGCUCCGGCCGGCGGCCUGUCUCUCUAUUUAGCACAGCACAUUGCUCUCCGGACUGGGAGGAAUGGUCUUACCCAACGGAUGGCGUGUGCAGGCUUUGUCUGGGGACCUGCUCCUGUCCUGCUGUCACCUGAGUGUGACUUCACACCUCAGGGAGUGGGGCAUGUGCAGAGAGCACGGCUGCUGAGCACGCCGCAUGGACUGAGGGUGUGAGAACUUCGGCUGGGUCAGUUCAGAGCUGCUGGCUUACUCAGAGGACGGACUUUCCUGGCUGCUCGUUAACUGUUCAGAAGUCAUCUGGAGAGGCCGUUAUUGCUGGAUUAAUGAAAUCCCCAUUCAGAAAAGUGAAGCUCCCAGUGCUGCUGGAGUGCCCUUUCCCGAGGAACUGGUAGCCACUGCUACCGGCUCUUGCUGUGAGUAGCUAAAGACCAAAUUGAGCCUUGCAGUAAACGUGAGCAGGCGGGAACUCUCAGGGGGCGGCAGUGAUCCGCUGGGGUACACCGCCCUCUGGACUUUGGCCUCUCGCUUGAGGCACCCAGUUCUGCCCCUCAGGGGUGGGGAGAUGGGUGGCUCCGUGCCAGCCGCCACAGGAGUGGGGAGCGAGGUGCACUGGGAGGGCGGGGUGGCUCCUGGCUGGGUGCCGUGGGCCAGGCGAGCAUCUCGUCCCUGGUCCGUGCAGCUCAGCCCUGCUCCCUCCGGGCGCUGGGUGCCUGGUGCUGGGACUGAGUUGCAGGGACCAGGACCAGGAGGCCGGCCCCAGCCCUCAUGGGCAGGCGUGCUGUGUGUGCGUGCAUGUGCACGUGCAUGUGUGGGUGAUGCGACGUGGCAGGUGAGCGAGGGAUGUGUGCUGUGGGUGGGAGGUGUAGGGCCGUGCACAUGUGAUGUGCUGUGUGUGAGGCCCAUGCGAUUGUGUGAUGUGCAGUGUUCUGCAGUCACAGGGUGGCACGGUACGUGACGUGGGUGUUUAUGGCAGAUGUGAUGCGACCGUGUACUGUACACACACAGCGUAUGUGUGUGUCGUAUGUGGGGUGAGUGUGUACCAUGUGUGAGGCCUGUGUUGUGUGUGUGUGAUCUGUGUGGUGUGAACGAGGGAUGCAGUGUGCGGUGUUUGUGCGGCGCAUGUCACAUGGGUCGUGUGCAGUGUGUGCUGCUGUGGCAUGGGUGUGUGGAGUGCACGGCGUGUGCUGGUGUGUACUGUGUGUGUGUGUGUGUGUGCGUGUGUGUGUGAGAGUGACAGUGAGUGGCCGCAGGCCCGCCCCUGCCCCGCCAGCUCUGCCGGAGACCGAGAGCCCGUUGGUGGCUGUGCUGAUGCUCAGGCUGGCGCCCUCUCCCAUCACGGGUGGUGCUGCUGCCCCUCUCUCAGCUCAUGCCCUGUGGGGCCUGUCUUUGCCCUUGGCCACUUGGGCACAGGAAGUGGAUGUCACCUGGCACCCACCUCAGGGGCUUGGGCUCACCUUUCCGUGCUGUCCCCCGACAUCUCCAGCCUGCAGUCACACGCAUGCGCUUUCCGUGGCUGAUUUGCUCUGAGGAAAAUAAGUCACCUGCCAGUGCUGCCAUGGUGCAUCUCUGGCGUUGAGCACUCUGGCCCUCCACGGCUCUGGAAAAGCAAACCCGUGGGCUUUGUGUCCUACGGAGGGGCCUGCUGGCUGUGUCCCCCCA
ensembl:lincRNA